GCGGGUAUGGCGGAAUUGGUAGACGCGCUAGACUUAGGAUCUAGUGCCGCAAGGCGUGGGGGUUCGACUCCCUUUACCCGCACUA
rnacentral:tRNA from 2 species